rnacentral:rRNA from 1 species
GACAGAGGGUGCAAACGUUGUUCGGAAUUACUGGGCGUAAAGCGAGUGUAGGCGGUUUGGUAAGUCGGAUGUGAAAGCCCUGGGCUCAACCCAGGAAGUGCAUUCGAUACUGUCAAGCUAGAGUAUCGGAGAGGUUGGUGGAAUUCUCGGUGUAGAGGUGAAAUUCGUAGAUAUUGGGAAGAACACCGAUGGCGAAGGCAGCCAUCUGGACCGACACUGACGCUGAGGCGCGAAAGCGUGGGGAGCAAACAGG